rnacentral:rRNA from 1 species
UACGUAGGGGGCAAGCGUUGUCCGGAUUUAUUGGGCGUAAAGAGCGUGUAGGCGGCCUGAAAGGUCAGCUGUGAAAACUCGAGGCUCAACCUCGAGACGUCGGUUGAAACCAUCUGGCUAGAGUCCGGAAGAGGAGUGUGGAAUUCCCGGUGUAGCGGUGAAAUGCGCAGAUAUCGGGAAGAACACCCGUGGCGAAGGCGGGACUCGUGGGCCGAGUACUGACGCUGAGGAGCGAAAGCGUGGGGAGCAAACAGG